UCUGGCGGCAGUAGCACAGGUGGUCCCACCUGACCCCAUGCCGAACUCAGAAGUGAAACGCCGUAGCGCCGAUGGUAGUGUGGGGUCUCCCCAUGCGAGAGUAGGGAACUGCCAGAC
rnacentral:rRNA from 1 species